CUGUAAAAACAGCUUGUCGCUUUUGGGGUUAAGCCUAAAAGAGGAAAGUCCGGGCAACACAGAGCAACAUACUACCUAACUGGUAGGAGACCCAAUAUAAUGUUGGGUCUACAGCAAGUGCCACAGAGAAUAUACCGCCAAGCAGCAAUGUUUGGUAAGGGUGAAAAGGCGGUUUAAGAGACCACCGCUUGUGCAGCAAUGUACAAGGCAUGGUAAACCUUAUGUGUUGCAAGGCCAAAUAGGUUACGAGGUGUUGCAGCAAUGUAACACAAAGUGCUGCUCGCACUUUCGUAAUGGGUAGGCUGCUAGAUUCUAACCGCGAGGUUGGAGCCAGAUAAAUGACAAGCAUACUCCGGUAACGGAGCGUAACAGAACCCGGCUUAUCGUUUUUACAAAAUA
rnacentral:RNase_P_RNA from 1 species